UAUCAUUUAUCGGACGGUGGGAACAGGUCCGUCAGCUAGACAGCAAGGGUUAUCCGGACCUUUCCUAAAAGGUCUGGUCUAGAACGGCGACUGUUCUCUCACGAUAAAAAGCAAACUGCACUGACGCUUCUGUUCCCAACGUUGUUGUCAGUCCAAAUCAACUAAGGUCUUAGUUACCUUGAAUUUGGGUGUCUAAAAUUACUGUUGUAGCACUGUAGCACACUGUAGCGUUUCGUUUGUAUUUGUGAAUUAUUGUCCAAAUAUUGACUAAUUAGGCUCAAAAGAUUCGUCACGCAAAGUACAACAAAACUGUGCAAUUAGUUUUUGAUUUAGCUACAUUUAGUACUCCAUGCAUGUACCGCAAGUUUGAUGUGACGGGAAAUCUUCUUUUUGCAUAGGGCUAAAAUUGGGAGUUUGGAUGGAACUAAACAAGACCUAAACAGAGCCCCAUCCAAAUCCGAAAGCUAGAUACAAUCCCGCCAAAUACAUCCAAAUCCAAUUAACAUGAACACAGGAACAUCCAGGUAUAAAAAGACGCAGGCAAAUUAAUACCGUCAACGUCCGGCCCUAAAGGCUGGGUAAUUAAACGGAACCUUGCUUUAGUUAGAAAUUAAUCCCUUCACCCUAAUCU
rnacentral:lncRNA from 1 species